GAUGAACGCUGACAGAAUGCUUAACACAUGCAAGUCGAUGGGGAAGUGGUGCUUGCACCAUGGUAACCAUGUCGGACGGGUGAGUAACGCGUAAGGAACUUACCUGCGGGACCGGGAUAACAGCAGGAAACUGCUGACAAGACCGGAUAAGGUCAUUAAGCUGCAUAGCUUAGUGAUGAAAGGAGACGCCUGCGGAGAGCCUUGCCUCCUAUUAGCUAGUUGGAGGGGUAACGGCCCACCAAGGCGAAGAUAGGUAGCCGGCCUGAGAGGGUGGACGGCCACAAGGGGACUGAGAUACGGCCCUUACUCCUACGGGAGGCAGGAGUGGGGAAUAUUGGACAAGGGGGGCAACCCUGAUACAGCAAUUCUGUGUGCACGAAGACGGUUUUCGGAUUGUAAAGUGCUUUCAGCAGGGAAGAAGGAAGUGACGGUACCUGCAGAAGAAGCGACGGCUAAAUACGUG
rnacentral:rRNA from 1 species